GGCACUGAAAUUUGUCUGACAGGAAUGUUGUGUGGAGAGCAGGCAGAUUGCAUUUGAAGAUAUUAGAGUUCUUUUUACUUUUCAAUAAACUCCAAGGUGCUCUGGAGGGUCUGGUUGGAGUCAUUUUUUGGACUCUCAGAAUGAAUAUUUUUUGGUCCCGUUCAUGGUCUGUAGUCACUUCCAUUUAUUGUAGGAGAGUUUUCUGUCUUGGCUGCAACUUAAGCCUGUGGUCCUUUGGAGAGAAAAUAAGUAGGAGAUAUGUGACUCCAUAUAUGCCAUCCCCCUUCCCCUCUGCCCCCCACACCUCCUCUGCCCUUGAAGGUCCCAGCACUACCCUGGCCCAGGUGGGGAAUGAGGAGUGGGUUUGUAUGGCCUGUGAGGUCUCCAAGGGUUUUUGUGGCACCAUCUGUUGAUCAGCCAGAACAGUGUGUCCAUCCCCCUUCCUGGCUCACAUACAGUGUUUGUUGGCUUCUUCUUAAAGAUGGACACAUUCCUUUUUCUGUUUAAACCACAGACACUGGAUAAACAACCAAUGUUGGUUGCCAUAAUAAGCCAUGGUUGCUUCAGAAAACAAUAAACUCUCGGGUAAAACCAGCAUUAAUGGACUCCAAACAACUGUCACAUCGCGGGCGCUGACUGAGCUUGCUAUCUGGUAGCCAAUGACCUUUCGGUGUGAGCCCACUCCUAGGCAUCACUGGAGGAGGACCAGCUACUUUCCCAUAGUGCACAGGGGUGGCUCUGACAGCUGUGUUUGCCCAAAUGUUUGAUGUCACCUCUCUAUUUAGUCCUUGGACUAGGUCUGAGAAAAGACAACAACAGCAAGUUCUAAACUGUGAACAUGCCAUGACAGUGAACCGGCUUCUUUGCUUAGAUGCUGGGAGUGCUCCACAGAGGCGUGGCUUCAGACGGCUGGACCAGCUUAGCAUGCAAAUGCCUCAGACCUGGCCUUCCUCGAUUGACUGGAGGUUCAAAAGGAGUGCAUUUAGGAUACGGAGAUUCAAAGCUUUCCCCAUGGACCAUGCAUGAGUCAUAGUGACCUCAGGAAGUGAUGAUUUAAUAAAAUGAUUCAACAAAAGAUGAUGAAGCAAGAGAAGAAGAAGAAGAAGAAGAAGAAGAAGAAGAAGAAGA